rnacentral:rRNA from 1 species
CAGUCGCCGCGGUAAUACGAAGGGUGCAAGCGUUAAUCGGAAUUACUGGGCGUAAAGCGUGCGUAGGCGGUUUGUUAAGUCUGUUGUGAAAUCCCCGGGCUCAACCUGGGAACUGCAUUUGUGACUGGCAAGCUAGAGUGUGGCAGAGGGGGGUGGAAUUCCGCGUGUAGCAGUGAAAUGCGUAGAUAUGCGGAGGAACACCGAUGGCGAAGGCAGCCCCCUGGGCCAACACUGACGCUCAUGCACGAAAGCGUGGGGAGCAAACAGGAUUAGAUACCCCUGUAGUCCCUGUCUCUUAUAC